UCCAGGUUACAAGAGAUAUUUCAGGGAGGGACUAAUGAUGAUGUCACUGAGACCUGCCAUGGCCUAAUACCUAAACAGUUUUCCUUACACUGAUCAGAUUUGGAGUGCCCUUUCCAGAUGGGAGGGUAGCGUUAUUGUCCUCUGCAACGCUCCACCAAGCAGCCGACUGACACAGAAGCAGAGGCACAGGGCUUGAUAUCAGAUGGAGCUCAGUGAGUCUCACUGAAAAGCUGAGGGAAGGACUGAGAGAGGCAGAGUUGCACAAUGGUCUUCACGUGGGGUCACUAACCCGUCGCCUGUCUGUGGAUCCUGUUCUCCUACCCGGGCUGCGUUUUCAAGAGCUGGUUGAUGGAUCUUUCUCUUUUCCUAAGAAAAGGCCACUCUGGUUCUCAACUCACUCUUGAAGCCGUGACAGGAGACAUUCACAUCUCAUUCCUUAAGGACUAUACAAAAGGUUUGCUCAAAGGUAAAAUCCAUAUUUUGGGAUAUACUUAUUAUUGAAAAAUUACAUAGAUAAACCCAAUCCAUAUUUUAUCUUCUGUCCCUGUACCUAUAAUAAAUCUUUAUUAACUUUGAUAAAAAUAAAAAAAAGUGUUUCUACUCCAUUACUGACAACUGACAGAAAGAGAGGAAGACUGAGUAUUACAUACUAAUUUACACCGAUACACACAUAUUCUCAAUAAAAUCCGUGCGAACAGAUUCAAGAAGACACUAAAAAUAAAAAUAUAUACACAUAUUUGUCAAAUCUAAUUCUAAUAUGAUCUUUGUGAUAGGAUGUUGCAUCUUUAACUCAGAACUUUAAUCAAGAUCUAUUCUUAUUUUUAUAUUUUUAGUCAUCUGCAGAUACAUCUUUUUUAGGAAUGAAUCCUUCGCACUGGUGACCAGAGAAGAGACCUGCAGUUGCAUUAUUAAUAAACAUCAAAGCAAAAUAUAAAAGUCUGAAUGGAAUAAAUAUUUUAGGACAGUGUUUUGCAAGCAAAUUCUUUCAUAGACAGUCUUUGAAGAGCUCUGAAAUUUUGCAUUUCAUAUUUGACUUUUCUGGGACUCUGACUAGAAUCAACUCACAACUGUUUGGGAUUUUCUUGGCAAUUAACCAGUUUGUGAACAGAGCUGAAUUUAUCAUAUGCUCUUCCAUCUACAUUAAUAUUGCUACAGUGAGGAACAACUAUGGUAAAACUCUUCAUCUGAUUUUUCAAACAGCAUCCUCAUACCACUGCGGACUUUUGUGCUUGUGGAGGGAAAGGUUGAGAACACCAUUUGAAAGUUGGAAAUGCUGA